rnacentral:lncRNA from 1 species
GGUGUUGUAUCGUUGAUGGCUGGGUCGACUGUUGGUGUAGCGAUGUCUCCUUAGUAUAGCGGAAACCAAACCGCAACGCCGCCGCCUUCCUACUCAACUUACGCAACGACCAGUUCCUGCACCGAUGUCUUCAAGUACUACACCACCAAAGCACCGGAGUUUUAUACCACAACUUACGCUGCCCCGAGCCACUACACUGAUGCCCUGAAGUAUUACUCUGCCCUGAGUUACUACACCAUCUAGGCGACGGAUGACACCACAUGACUACGUAUACUGCCUAUCCUACUACACCGAGGCUUCUAACUGCCUACACCAGGCUCCCGCUGAUUUCUCCACCAAGACGGUCGAAUACUACACCGAAGCGGCGAAGUACUAAUCUGCCCCAAUCUACACAACCACAACUGAGACGGAGAAGUAUUGCGCAGUCCCGACUUGCUACACACAAAGCUGCUGUUACGUGCUACGUUGAACAGAAUUACUACACCGAUGCUCCAGUCUACUACACCACGACUUACGCUACACCUAGCUACAACACCGCAGCCCUAAAGUACUACACCGAAGAAGCCGCCUAUUACAUAACUACGUACGCUGCCUAGUUUACUACGUCAACGAAAUUAAGUAUUGCCCUGCUCGAAACUACUACAAACUUCAUAUUUAUUGCAAUUUCCACGACUAUCCCACCACUGCUCCGACCUAUACACCGAAGUUCUGAAGUAUUUCUCUGUAUGUGUUGAAAGAUUGCUGAAAUACAAGAUUGAUUGAUAAA